rnacentral:rRNA from 1 species
GUAGCUGGCUCAGUUAGUCCCUUGUUAAAUCCACCGAAUUAAUCGUUGGAUUGCGGGGGAUACUGCUCGGCUAGGGGACGAGAGAGGCAGACGGUAUUUCUGGGGUAGGGGUGAAAUCCUAUAAUCCCAGGAGGACCACCAGUGGCGAAGGCUGUCUGCUAGAACGCGCCCGACGGUGAGGGAUGAAAGCUGGGGGAGCGAACCGGAUUAGAUACCCGGGUAGUCCCAGCUGUAAACGAUGCAGACUAGGUGUUUGGACGGCCACGUGCCGUUCUAGUGCCGCA